GACGAACGCUGGCGGCGUGCUUGACACAUGCAAGUCGAACGGAAAGGCCUGCUUUCCCUUGUGGAUUGCGGGUACUCGAGUGGCGAACGGGUGAGUAACACGUGAGUGAUCUGCCCCCAACUUGGGUAUAAGCCUGGGAAACUGGGUCUAAUUCCCGAUAGGACUGCAGGGUGGUGCCUGUGGUGGAAAACGAUUUUCUAGUGGUUGGGGAUGAGCUCGCGGCCUAUCAGCUUGUUGGUGGGGUCAUGGCCUACCAAGGCGGCGACGGGUAGCCGGCCUGAGAGGGUGGACGGCCACAUUGGGACUGAGAUACGGCCCAGACUCCUACGGGAGGCAGCAGUGGGGAAUAUUGCACAAUGGGCGGAAGCCUGAUGCAGCGACGCCGCGUGGGGGAUGACGGCCUUCGGGUUGUAAACUCCUUUCGACCGCGAGGAAGCCACCUGGUUGGAAGGGUGGUGACGGUAGUGGUAGAAGAAGCACCGGCUAACUACGUG
rnacentral:rRNA from 1 species